GUGACAGAGGGUACACGGGUUCUUGGUUCGCAAAUCAACCAAGGGUGGGCGGCGGGUCAUUGCUCGAAGAAUCGCAAAGGGACGGUUUAGAAUCACAGCAUAGCUGCUUGUUAUUUUGACUCUGUCAUGUUUCAAUGAAAUCAAGUUCUAGUUCUCCACUUUUGUAAGGGUGGUGAGCAACUAGGAGGAACCUUUGCUUCUUUCCGGUGGCUGCUUGAGUGCCUGAUGGUCAUUUAAUAGAGCUAUGGUUGACAGAGCAUCAGAGCCCUCUCUUGUGAAGCUACUUGAAUUCUCUUUGUCAAAUUAUCCUCUUUCGGUUAUUCAUAUGCAUGUCUGCUGCAGUUUAUUA